rnacentral:rRNA from 1 species
AGUGAACGCUGGCGGUAGGCCUAACACAUGCAAGUCGAACGGCAGCACAGUAAGAGCUUGCUCUUACGGGUGGCGAGUGGCGGACGGGUGAGGAAUACAUCGGAAUCUACUUUUUCGUGGGGGAUAACGUAGGGAAACUUACGCUAAUACCGCAUACGACCUACGGGUGAAAGCAGGGGAUCUUCGGACCUUGCGCGAUUGAAUGAGCCGAUGUCGGAUUAGCUAGUUGGCGGGGUAAAGGCCCACCAAGGCGACGAUCCGUAGCUGGUCUGAGAGGAUGAUCAGCCACACUGGAACUGAGACACGGUCCAGGCUCCUACGGGAGGCAGCAGUGGGGAAUAUUGGACAAUGGGCGGAAGCCUGAUCCAGCCAUACCGCGUGGGUGAAGAAGGCCUUCGGGUUGUAAAGCCCUUUUGUUGGGAAAGAAAAGCAGCAGGUUAAUACCCCGCUGUUCUGACGGUACCCAAAGAAUAAGCACCGGCUAACUUCGU